rnacentral:misc_RNA from 1 species
CCUUUAUCACAUAAAACGACGUUAUAUUGCAAGUUCACAUUUGGAACUGUUUAACUUGCAAAAAUACAAGUCUGAACACAAAAGGUCCAACUACAGUAAACAACAGAAAUAUCAAGCUUCAAAGCAUGCACACACCUGACAGAAACACGGAAUAUGCAAAAGUUUGCAAAUCCAUUUCAGAUGAGAAAAAAAAAAUCAGAAAUAGCAAAUUUAGCAAACAACUUCAUAUUAAUCAUUUCCACAAAAAGAAAAUCCUAUUCCAAAAUAAUCUAAUACAAGAUUACUAGGCUAAGAAAAAAAAGAACGCCACAAUCACAAUUUUGGGGUCCAACCUUUGAUCUCCACAGCACUAUAACAAUAAGCG